GAAUGAGAUGAUGAGUGUUAUACAAAUUUGAUAGCUGAUAUGAUGGCAUAUUAUCAUGUAUUAGCUCUAGCUGAUCAUUC
rfam:Solanum lycopersicum cultivar Heinz 1706 chromosome 1, whole genome shotgun sequence.